rnacentral:rRNA from 1 species
CCUACGGGAGGCAGCAGUGAGGAAUAUUGGUCAAUGGCCGGAAGGCUGAACCAGCCACGCCGCGUGAAGGACGAAGGUGCCAAGCAUUGUAAACUUCUUUUGUCAAGGGACAAAAUCAGGCUCGAGAGCCUGACCGAGGGUACUUGAAGAAAAAGCAUCGGCUAACUCCGUGCCAGCAGCCGCGGUAAUACGGAGGAUGCGAGCGUUAUCCGGAUUUAUUGGGUUUAAAGCGUGCGUAGGCGGACUGUUAAGUCAGCGGUAAAAGCCCGGGGCUCAACCCCGGCGAGCCGUGGAAACUGGCUGUCUUGAGAUGUCGAGAGGUAGGCGGAAUGCGAAGGGUAGCGGUGAAAUGCUUAGAUAUUGCGCAGAACGCCGAUUGCGAAGGCAGCAUACCGGCGGCGAUCUGACGCUGAGGCACGAAAGCGUGGGUAGCGAACAGGAUUAGAUACCCUUGUAGUC